rnacentral:lncRNA from 1 species
GUUACAUUUUUGUGGUGCAAGGGUCCGAUGUAAAAUUAUGUUAAUAAAAUAGGCCUUUCCUCUUACCCCUCCCAAAGGCUCUCCCACCCUUCUUUCUACUCCAGGGAAAACCAAGGGGGGAGGCACAUAAGAAGCCUGCAGGGAAGAAUGGGGCAAUCUUUUUUUUUUUUUAUGGUGAAUAGAUACUGCUCAAUACACACCCAAUAUCAGAUUUGGGGUAGAAGUGCCAUGAAUGAAUGGUUUCAAAAAUGCUUCCUCACGCCCUUUAACAAGUUGAGGGGGGGGAGUUGCCUUCAUUUCAGCCAUUUUAGUCAUUCCAGAUGUUUGAGGAAAAACCUUCCUGUGCCCCUUUAUAGCUUGAAAUAAACUGUGGGAAUUUCCUACUGAGGCAAAAGAAUAAUAUGUUUUUAAAGGCUCCCUGUUAAGCUCCUCAGAAUUUUAUUGCUAGGGUAUCCGGAACAGCUGGGAGUCAUUACUUUUUCUGGACUACAACUCCCAGAAGCCACUAGCUAGCAAAUUCUGGGAGUUGUGGCUCCCCCAAAAGUAAGAUUCCUCAGCCCUAAGAUUCAGAGGCUUUUGUCUAGAGGGCAGGCUAAUGGGAGAGGCCCGGGUGUCUUCAACAUUAUUGUCAAAAAUAAAUGGAUUUGCAGCCGCCACCCCUCCCCCCCUUGCACGCCCUGCGCCGGCAAAAUCCCAUCCUCAGUCAGUCAGUCAGUCAGUCGGCGGCAACCGAGGCGCACGGGCAGCGUUUCGACCGGUUUCACCAAGGCGGCACUUGCGGCGGGUGACUCGGCGACGCCAGGCGUGCUGUGUAGCCCCAGAUCCCCCCGUUCCCCUCCUUCCGCUUGCAAAACCGUCAGACGUUUGGGGGGAAAAAUGGGGAGAAAGAUAUUGGCUGCCAGCAACUCGGAGGCUCCUCCCCGAGCCCGGAUCCCGAGAUUUUUGGACGAUUUCUUUUAACUCAGUUACGAACCUUUGGCGAAAGGAACAAGUUACCUCCCCUGCAAGGAGCGCAGGCAGAAAUCGCUGCUUCAAGGAACACCCAGCUCUCCGCCCCUCUCAGAUCUCGACCUCAGAGGCGAUUGCUUUUUUUUUUUUUUUUGGAAUUGCGGGGAGAAAUUGGCAUCGCCGGCUUGGGAGGGGGAAAAAUGCGGAUCCCUCGGGAUUCUGCACAAACGAAAGAGUGGAAGUAAAUGAAACAGAAGACAAUGAGGACAAACGUGAACGGAGGAAGAAGCCCUCUUCUGUGACCCCUCCCCUCUUUUUUUUGGGUUUUCUUGAACCUUGGCGGUGUUUCUCUGGGCUCCAGGAUUUUCAUUUUUGGGGGGGCGGAGGGGAAAGAACACCCCCCCCUGCUCACACACAUAACCUUAUUGGAUCUGACAAUCCGCCCCCCACCCCCACCCCCUUGGAUACAAAUUCGGAGGAAAUUCUAGCGUGUGCAGCGCAAUCAUCAUGCAUUCAGUGGCUGGGAAUAAGGAGAGAAUCGCAGUUAGCACCCGCAACAGGAAAUACGGGGUGAACGACCCCUGUUCCCCCACCAAACCCGCGGCUCCUUUCUCGCCGGAAAGCUGGUACAGGAAAGCUUACGAGGAAUCCCGGGCCGGCCACCGCCCCGCCCCCGAAGGCGCCGGCUCCGCUCUGGGCUCCUCCGGCACCCCUUCCCCUGGAUCGGGAACCUCGUCGCCCGGUUCUUUCACCGGCUCGCCCGGCCCCGCUUCCCCGGGGAUCGGCACCAGCUCGCCCGGCUCGCUAGGGGGCUCGCCGGGCUUCGGCACCGGCUCGCCCGGCUCCGGCAGCGGUGGAGGCUCCUCGCCGGGCUCCGACCGAGGCGUCUGGUGCGAGAACUGCAACGCCCGCUUGGUGGAGCUGAAGAGACAGGCGUUGAAGCUGCUCAUGCCGGGGCCCUACGGCGGCGGCGGCGGCAGCAGCAAUAAGGUGAGUCAGGAGAACGGGGCGGGUGUUCCCUCCAACCCAUGACAGACAGGUAACUAGGCGACCCGUCCCGUCGUCUGGGCAAACAUCCCCCGAACAAAGCGAGGAGACGCGCCCUUCUUGCUUCCCGCCUGGUUGGUUGGUUGACUUAUAUGUAU